rnacentral:rRNA from 1 species
AGUGAACGCUGGCGGUAGGCCUAACACAUGCAAGUCGAACGGCAGCCCAGGAGAGCUUGCUCUCUGGGUGGGGAGUGGCGGACGGGUGAGGAAUACAUCGGAAUUUAAUUUUUCGUGGGGGAUAACGUAGGGAAACUUACGCUAAUACCGCAUACGACCUACGGGUGAAAGCAGGGGACCUUCGGGCGUUGCGCGAUUGCAUGAGCCGAUGGCGGAUUAGCUAGUUGGCGGGGUAAAGGCCCACCAAGGCGACGAUCCGUAGCUGGUCUGAGAGGAUGACCAGCCAACCUGGAACUGAGACACGGUCCAGACUCCAACGGGAGGCAGAAGUGGGGAAUAUUGGAAAAUGGGCGCAAGCCUGAUCCAGCCAUCCCGCGUGGGUGGAGAAGGCCUUCGGGUUGUAAAGCCCUUUUGUUGGGAAAGAAAUCCAGCUGGCUAAUACCCGGUUGGGAUGACGGUACCCAAAGAAUAAGCACCGGCUAACUUCGUGCCAGCAGCCGCCGUAA